GACCGUUGCUAUGGCUUACCGUUUACAGUUUCGCCAGAGACCACCCCGCUUUGUUGGCGUGGUAAACACGGUGGUAAUGGCCCAAGCAGGUUCUGAGAGAGGAGAUAAAUACACUGUGGGCAAAAGGAGCUAUCUGUGCGGUUCCCGAGUCGGACAUGAACAGAGGCUGACGAGGCUGGACGAGGAUUUAGGCUCAUCUUGCCACCAGGAGCAGUGAGAACGACGGUAAGCAAGGUGAAGAGUCUCCAAAGCUGACUGUUCGAGAACUGCAGCAAAAGGUACCAACGUGGGACAAUUUUCCAUAACAACCAUUGGACACCCUCCACAUGCCAACUGGUUGUUUGCGAGGAUUAGCAGGUACCAUAUUGCUGCGAUUUAAAGGCGCUGGAAGCAAAUCAAGCGGAUUACAAUUGGAGAAAGCAUCCUGAGAAAGACUUGAACCAAGAAAGAUCAUCACGUGUUCCACAAGCCAAGCUGAGCUCCUAGCUUUUACAUUCAAUUAGCAUGUGGCGCUACACAAAUAUUCACAUUCGCCCACAAACGUUUGCUAAAACGUCUACUAAGCCUUUUCUAAACUUCCUGUUUGAUCACGUUAGCUCAUGUUUUAAACCUAAAAGCAUUAUUAGAAAAAAGCCAUAAAAGAUAAAGAACAGCUGUUUAUUUGCCAGCAGACUAUCUCUGCUGCUCAGUUAACCCCACUGCUUUUUAACCUGAUGGUUUGUUCCACAUUUGAUGGUUUGAAGCACAAGAAUAUGGAAGUAAAAUAAUCUAAUUAGAAUCAGAAAUUUUUUAGACAUUGAAUUUAUAACACUGAAUUUUUAUCCUGUGCAAUUAUGUAUGUGAAUCUUUUUUUUUUUUUUACUUAAAAUUUGCAAUCAGCAGUCGAUCGAGUCGAGCGUCUUUUAGCCAAUCAGAUUACGCUGAUGAAGAUCAGUGAUGAGAAUCAAAUGGGUGUUAAUUACCUGGCGUUUUGUAAUAAUAUAUUUUUGGCAGAAAAAUCGCAUCACUGAUCUUCAUUAAGCCACUAUCCAGCAAACUGUUAAGAGACUUGCCUCUGCCCAAGGCAAUGGUGUGUCACGUGAUCAGAUUAGCGUAAUCUGAUUGGCUAAAAGACGCUCGACUCGAUCGACUGCUGAUUGCCUUGGCUUGAGUCACCAGAAGGUCAACACAUUUGCAGGCGAAUUCUUGCAGGUGAAUUUUUGCCGGCAAAUUUUAAGUACAAAAAAAAAAAAUUCACAUACAUAAUUGCACAGGAUAAAAAUUCAGUGUUAUAAAUUCAAUGUCUAAAAAAUUUCUGAUUCUAAUGAGAUUAUUUUACUUCCAUACAAGAAUGAGCUGAUGGUUUGUUCCACAUAAUUUUUAACACUUUUUGGGAUCUUUUAAAGACCUUAUAUUAUAUACAUUUUGGCAAUGUGAAUUAUGAGAAAUUACUAAAGUUAAUGUAGCAAAUUCUAUUUAACCUACUUCAUAUAAAUAAAACUGUCAACUGAA